rnacentral:rRNA from 1 species
GAUGAACGCUGGCGGCAGGCUUAACACAUGCAAGUCGAGCGCCCCGCAAGGGGAGCGGCAGACGGGUGAGUAACGCGUGGGAAUCUACCCAUCUCUACGGAAUAACGCAUGGAAACGUGUGCUAAUACCGUAUACGUCCUUCGGGAGAAAGAAUUAUCGGAGAUGGAUGAGCCCGCGUUGGAUUAGCUAGUUGGUGGGGUAAAGGCCUACCAAGGCGACGAUCCAUAGCUGGUCUGAGAGGAUGAUCAGCCACACUGGGACUGAGACACGGCCCAGACUCCUACGGGGGGCAGCAGUGGGGAAUAUUGGACAAUGGGCGCAAGCCUGAUCCAGCCAUGCCGCGUGAGUGAUGAAGGCCCUAGGGUUGUAAAGCUCUUUCACCGGUGAAGAUAAUGACGGUAACCGGAGAAGAAGCCCCGGCUAACUUCGUGCCAGCCGCCGCGGUAAGAC